rnacentral:sRNA from 1 species
UGCAGUUAGAUAAAUUAAUUUGUUGUGGU